ensembl:lncRNA
GGGGGGGGCGGAGCUGUUGGCUGAGGUUGGAGCUGUUGGCUGCUUGUUGAAGUUUUCGAUAAUCAUGGAUUUAUCGGUGGUGACCGUGUUACCUAGCCUCAGUGCAGUGGGCAGCUGGGAGGAGGUGCUCUUGUUCUCCAUGGACUUCACAGUGUCCCAGAACUUUUUGGAGUUGGAGCUACAGGAUGCAAACUUCUGCCUGAAGAAGCUGGCCUUAGCUUUCCUGACUGACUGCAUGUAUUGGUUCCUGACUUCCCUGAACAGUUGCAUAUCGCGGGGACUAUUCGAUGCUAUUGCAGUCCGCCACUUUAAACAAUGCCACUUAAUAUAAAGUUUACAUACUCUACAUUACUCAUCUCAUAUGUAUAUACUGUACUCUAUACCAUCUACUGCAUCUUGCCAUCUUUAUGUAAUACAUGUAUCACUAGCCACUUUAAACUAUGCCACUUUUAUGUUUACAUACCCUACAUUACUCAUCUCAUAUGUAUAUACUGUACUCGAUACCAUCUACUGCAUCUUGCCUAUGCCGUUCUGUACCAUCACUCAUUCAUAUAUCUUUAUGUACAUAUUCUUCAUCCCUUUACACUUGUUUGUAUAAGGUAGUACUUUUGGAAUUGUUAGGUUAGAUUACUCGUUGGUUACUACUGCAUUGUCGGAACUAGAAGCACAAGCAUUUCGCUACACUAGCGUUAACAUCUGCUAACCAUGUGUAUGUGACAAAUAAAAUUUGAUUUGAUUUGAAACCAUCAAGAAAUCUCACAUGUCAAAUGCCAAUGGUGGGUCUCGACCAUGUCUUGUGAUGAACACAGAUCACAAACUGCACUUUUUUUUUUGCUGAUUGACCACCUGUACAGUAUUAUCUCUGCACAGGGACUGGUUUAUGGACUUCAUGGCAAAACGAGUCUGGACUUCAGUAUAAACAUGUUUUAUGUUUUUGUAGUUUGAGUAUAAUGCCCAGAAAGGGGCAAAGUUUGAGGUUACUUAGUGCAAUUGUAAUCAAUUAUGAUACAGAAAAAUUGUUAUAUACCAUGCAUUGGGAAAGUAUUCAGACCCCUUCACUUUCUCCAAAAUGUGUUACGUUACAGCCUUAUUCUAAAAUGGAUUACAUUAAACAUUUUCCUCAUCAUUCUACACACAAUACCCCAUAAUGACAAAGUAAAAAAACUGUUUUGGAAAUUUUUGCACAUUUAUUCAAAAUAAAAAGCAGACACCUUAUUUACAUAAGUAUUCAGACCCUUUGCUAUGAGACACAAAAUUGAGCUCAUGUGCAUCCUGUUUCCAUUGAUCAUCCUUUAGGUUUCUACAACUUGAUUGGAGUCCACCUGUGAUAUUCAAUUGAUUUGGAGAUGAUUUGGAAAGGCACACACCUGUCUAUAUAAGGUUCCACAGUUGACAGUGCAUGUCAGAGUAAAAUUGUGUCGGAUUGUGUCGAGGCAAAGAUCUGGGGAAGGGUAUCAAACAAUUUCUGCAGCAAUGAUGGUCCCCAAUAACCUCCAUCAUUCUUAAAUGGUAGAAGUUUAGAACCACCAAGACUCUUCCUAGAGCUGGCUACCCGGCCAAACUGAGCAAUCGGGGGAGAAGGGCCUUGGUCAGGGAGGUGACCAAGAACCCGAUGGUCACUCUGACAGAGCUCCAGAGUUCCUCUGUUGAGAUGGGAGUACCUUCCAGAAGGACAACCAUCUCUGCAGCACUGUACCAAUCAGGCCUUUAUAUGGUAGAGUGGCAACACGCAAGCCACUCCCCAGUAAACAGCACAUGACAGUCCACUUGGAGUUUGCCAAAAGGCACAUAAAGGACUCUCCGACCAUGAGAAACAAGAUUCUCUGGUCUGAUGAAACAAAGAUUGGACUCUUUGGCCUGACUGCCAAGCGUCACUUCUGGAGGAAACCUGGCACCAUCCCUACGGUGAAGCAUGGUGGUGGUAGCAUCAUGCUGUAAAAUGUCUUUCAGUGGCAGGGACUCUGAGACUAGUCCAGAUCGAUGGAAAGAUUAAUGGAGCAAAGUAUAGAGUGAUCCUUGAUGAAAACCUGCUCCAGUGCGCUAAGGACCUCAGACUGGGGCGAUGGGUUCACCUUCCAACAGAACAACGACCCUAAGAACACAGCCAAGACAGCGUAGGAGUGGCUUCUGGACAAGUCUCUGAAUGUCCUUGAGUGGCCCAGACAGAGCCACAAUCAAACAUCUUUGGAGAGAUAUGAAAAUAGCUGUGCAGUGACGGUCCCCAUCCAACCUGACAGAGCUUGAAAGGAUCUACAGAGAAGAAUGGGAGAAACUCCCCAAAUACAGGUGUGCCAAGCUUGUAGCACCAUACACAAGAAGACUUGAGGCUGUAAUCACUGCCAAAGGUGCUUCAACAAAGUACUGAGUAAAGGGUCUGAAUACUUAUGUAAAUGUGAUAUUGUAAAUGUAAAUGUGAUAUUGUAAAUACUUAUGUAAAUGUGAUAUUGUAAAUGUAAAUGUGAUAUUGUAAAUACUUAUGUAAAUGUGAUAUUUCAUUUUUUUAUUUGCAAACCUUUCUAAAAAC